AUUAUUUUGGCAGAAUAGUGCGUUAGAUUUAGAAUCUAUUAAUGUAUAUUAAUACAAAUAAUA
rnacentral:tRNA from 1 species